rnacentral:rRNA from 1 species
CGGCGAGUGAACAGGGAAAAGCCCACGCAUGAAUCCCGUAGAGUGAAUCUACUGGGAAAUGUAGCGUUUGGGCGUUUUCAUGAUGUGAAUGUGUCCUGUCCUAAGUUCGCAUGAUUGCGACUCUCAACCUCCAGAGAGGGUGUAAGGCCCGUAAGGACUAAUGCAUUUACGCUUGAAAACGCCUUAGAGUCGGGUUGCUUGAGAAUGCAGCCCUAAUCAGGUGGUAAACUCCAUCUAAGGCUAAAUACGAUCACGAUUCCGAUAGUAAACAAGUACCAUGAGGGAAAGUUGAAAAGAACUUUGAAGAGAGAGUUCAAUAGUGCGUGAAAUUGCUUAGAGGUAAGCGGGAACAGCUGAAAGUGGUGCGCUAGUUAGUGUUUGUAGUAGCUGGAUGCAUAGGGUAGUGAAUCUUUAUGGAGCGCUCUCUGUGUUGUUUGGUCAACUGCGGGCAUUUUGCUGCGUGCCUAUACCACAAGCGAUGGUCCAUCAGAGUUGAGAUUGGGAAGGUGGCGUGCAUUCUUAUGUUUGCAUUCUUUACAGCCCAAUGGAAACUACUGAUGUGCUCUAUUGUAUUCGGCCUGACUGUGCGUAUCCGAAUUCUCUUUGUUUGUUACUGGCGACGGACCUUUAUGGGUCUUAGUUAGUAAUGGGCUUAGAAGGAAUUGGCUCUAUGUAUGGAGAAGACUUUGUGGUUCCAAAAGUAGGUAGUGUUCCCGGCCCGUCUUGAAACACGGACCAAGGAGUUUAGUUUGUGCGCAAGUCAAUGGGAAUUACGAAACCCAAAGGCGAAAUGAAAGUAAAGGAUUCUUUAUGGAGUCUGAGGUGUGAUCUGUGUUCCUCGGAAUGCGGCGCAGCACCGACUCGUCCAAGACUAUUUUAGUCGGGCGACGUGAGAGCGUACAGACUGAGACCCGAAAGAUGGUGAUCUAUGCUUGUGUAGGCUGAAGCCAGAGGAAACUCUGGUGGAGGGCCGCAGCGGUUCUGACGUGCAAAUCGAUCGUCAAACAUGAGUAUAGGGGCGAAAGACUAAUCGAACCAUCUAGUAGCUGGUUCCCUCCGAAGUUUCCCUUAGGAUAGCUGGCACUCAGAGAAAAAUCAGUUUUAUCCGGUAAAGCGAACAUUUAGACGUAAUGGGAUCGAAACGAUCUCAACGUAUUCGUGAACUUUAAAUGGGUGAGAUGUCAUUCUAGCUUUAUUGUAGUGUGACAUGGAAUGAGAGUGCCUAGUGGGCCAAUUUUGGUAAGCAGAACUGGCGCUGUGGGAUGAACCAAACGCGCGGUUAAGGUGCCUAACACAACGCUCAUGAGA